rnacentral:rRNA from 1 species
UACGGGGGGAGCAAGCGUUGUUCGGAUUUACUGGGCGUAAAGGGCGCGUAGGCGGUCAGCACAAGUCAGUUGUGAAAUCUCCGGGCUUAGCUCGGAAAGGUCAACUGAUACUGUGCGACUAGAGUGCAGAAGGGGCAACUGGAAUUCUCGGUGUAGCGGUGAAAUGCGUAGAUAUCGAGAGGAACACCUGCGGCGAAGGCGGGUUGCUGGGCUGACACUGACGCUGAUGCGCGAAAGCCAGGGGAGCGAACGGG